UUGCUUUAGCAGCACAUGUAAUAAAAUUGGAAUGAUACAGAGAAGAUUGCCAUGACUCCUGCACAAGGUUGACAUGCAAAAUCGUGAAGUGUUCCAUAUUUUU
ensembl:snRNA U6 U6 spliceosomal RNA